rnacentral:rRNA from 1 species
ACUGGCAGGCUUGAGUUCGGGAGAGGAAAGUGGAAUUCCCAGUGUAGAGGUGAAAUUCGUAGAUAUUCGGAAGAACACCGGUGGCGAAGGCGGCUCCCUGGGCCAGUACUGACGCUGAUGCACGAAAGCGUGGGGAGCAAACAGGAUUAGAUACCCUGGUAGUCCACGCCGUAAACGAU